GGACAGGAUCAAGGUCACUCACAUGUAGGCUUCCUCCGACCCGUGUCUGCUUCCUGCGGGAGGAGGCGAGAAUUGGGCCUGAGCCCCUGGGUGUGGCCCCCACCAUGGCCUCCCCCUUUCUCCAGGAGCCUACCUACCUUUGCUGAAGUUCUGGUACCUGGAAGAUGCUGGAUCUGGAAGAAAGACCCAGCUAAUUGCUUUCUCCCCUGGCCCCUGCUUUGCACCCAGCUCGGGUGCUGCAGCCCAAGGCAGGGCCAGCUAUUUCCCGUGUCUGAGCCUUUGCAGUGCUCCCUGUCCCCUCAGUGGGGCAUGUGCGAGUGUGCACCCUCCCCCUGCCAGGCCGAUUCCAGGAGCCUGCCCUGCCCCAGCCUGUGUGUCUCUCCUGGGGAGGCCUCGCCUGGCCCCGCAGCCCCCACUGCACGACGCCUGUCCCAUGGGGUUUUCGCCUGUCUUAGUCCCAGCUUGGCUAGGCCUGUCCCUGUCCCUGCCCUGUGCCACUCACCCUCCAGGCUGGGGUAGAAUUGCAACAGCUUGUCCUUCCUGCAGGGAGGGGGAAGGAGGGAGUUAAAGGAGGGGCUGUAGGGGAGAGGCCCCCCAGGACACAUCCCCCCAUACCCCUUGUGGGGCCUUCAUAGCUGAGCCCUGGAGCUCUGGGACUCGGGGAGGGAGGGAGGUCUUGACCUGGGCUCACCAGGUGAGGACCUCCAGGACUUUCAUUCUUGUCACUUCCUGGGGGACUGUGACCUACCUUGUGGGUGCCAUGUCCGCCAGGGGUCCUGGCCAUGCCUGCCCGACCACUACAAAGGGCAAGAAGUGGGGUGUUGGCUGGGCCCCCAGCUAGCCCAGCCCCCUCACCCCAUCAUCCCCCCACAUCAGGCCUGGCCACGGUCUCAGGUCAAUGGGGACCGAGAUAACUUGAUAGGGACACCCCCAACCCAGAGCCCAACCCGGGGACACUUGGAGACUCACAGGAGUAGGUCCGGGACCCCGUAAAGCUCUGUUGGUCCUCACGCCUGGAAAUGCAUGGGCUGUGCUGAGCCUGGGCCUGGACUCCCACAGCCCAAGAACACAGGGACAGGAGGGAGGGACAGGCAGGGAUGAGGAGGGAAAGCAGAGGGACGGACUGGGGCGACAGUGGGGAGGAACUGCUGCCCUUUCAGGCCUCAUUCUCACGGCUCCCCAUGCUAUCCCCAUUCUCUGGCCCCUCCGUGCACUGGGUGCCCAACCCUCACACAGGGCCCUGGGCUGGAGCCCGGCUCUCAGCCAGACCCAUCCCUGACAUGGCCUCAACAGGGCCACAUCCUGCCGGUGGGUCCCAGGCCCCUGGAGACGGGUCAGGAGGGGUCUGUGGACAGGGCUGUGGAGGUAGCCCUGAGAUUCUGGGGCAUGAGGGUGAAUGAAGGCAGGUGCUCAGGGACCCAGCAAUGACUUGGGGUAAAUUAUUUCAGCCAGGAGUGACGAUGAGGCUGCCUCCCACCUGCUGGUCCCAGGGAGCGUUUGCAAUUCCUUAAAAAAGCACACACUCACCCCGUCUCUACUAAAAAUACAAAAAAUUAGCCGGGCGCGGUGGCGGGCGCCUGUAGUCCCAGCUACUCGGGAGGCUGAGGCAGGAGAAUGGCGUGAACCCGGGAAGCGGAGCUUGCAGUGAGCCGAGAUUGCACCACUGCAGUCCGCAGUCUGGCCUGGGCGACAGAGCGAGACUCCGUCUCAAAAAAAAAAAAAAAAAAAAAAAAAAAAAAAAAAAAAAGCACACACUCUAGACCCGGCAUGGUGGCUCACACCUGUAAUCCCAGGGCUUUGGGAGGCCAAGGCAGGCGAAUCACCUGAGGUUGGGAGUUCAAGACCAGCCUGACCAACAUGGAGAAAACCCCGUCUCUACUAAAAAUACAAAAAUUAGCUGGGCAUGGUGGCGCAUGCCUGUAAUCCCAGCUACUCGGGAGGCUGAGACAGGAGAAUCGCUUGAAGCCAGGAGGCAGAGGUUGCAGUGAGCCAAGAUCAUUCUACUGCACUCCAGCCUGAACAAAAGUAAAUGUGGCUCCAUCUCUAAAUAAAUAAAGAAAUAAAUAAUAGACUAUUCCUAGCCUUCCUUGCACCAAAGUGUGGCCAUGGAUUAAGCUCUGGUCUAUGAGAUUCAAGCCAAGGUUGUUGAUAUUUCCAAUAAAUCUUUUUAAACGGGGG
rnacentral:lncRNA from 10 species